GAUGAACGCUGGCGGCGUGCCUAACACAUGCAAGUCGAGCGAUCUUCUUCGGAAGAGAGCGGCGGACGGGUGAGUAACGCGUGGGUAACCUGCCCUGUACACACGGAUAACAUACCGAAAGGUAUGCUAAUACGGGAUAACAUAAGAAAGUCGCAUGGAUUUCCUAUCAAAGCUUUUGCGGUACAGGAUGGACCCGCGUCUGAUUAGCUAGUUGGUAAGGUAACGGCUUACCAAGGCGACGAUCAGUAGCCGACCUGAGAGGGUGAUCGGCCACAUUGGAACUGAGACACGGUCCAAACUCCUACGGGAGGCAGCAGUGGGGAAUAUUGCACAAUGGGCGAAAGCCUGAUGCAGCAACGCCGCGUGAGCGAUGAAGGCCUUCGGGUCGUAAAGCUCUGUCCUCAAGGAAGAUAAUGACGGUACUUGAGGAGGAAGCCCCGGCUAACUACGUGCCAGCAGCCGCGGUAAUACGUAGGGGGCUAGCGUUAUCCGGAAUUACUGGGCGUAAAGGGUGCGUAGGCGGUCUUUCAAGUCAGAAGUGAAAGGCUACGGCUCAACCGUAGUAAGCUUUUGAAACUGUAAGACUUGAGUGCAGGAGAGGAGAGUGGAAUUCCUAGUGUAGCGGUGAAAUGCGUAGAUAUUAGGAGGAACACCAGUUGCGAAGGCGGCUCUCUGGA
rnacentral:rRNA from 1 species